UGGGUGGACAUCUUCCUGUGGCCUUUGGGCUUUGGGAUAAGAUCCUUUAUGGACAUUAAGUCCAUUAAAUAGAAACUUGCCUUCAUCUUGAAUGCGGGUGCUUUUGG
rfam:Otolemur garnettii contig184722, whole genome shotgun sequence.